rnacentral:sRNA from 1 species
UUUUGACGCAGUAUUCAUUAAAAUUGCGUUUAAUGCAUGUUUUACUUAUGUAUCCAUUACAUUUUAGUCAUUCUUUUUAGGCAUUGGUUAAAGAAUGGUUUCUUGCAUUUGCUGAUUGUUGAUAAACUUCGUUGUUGUCUAGAAUAGAAAUGUGGUCAGCACUCCUAUUCUUGUACACAAGUUUGAUCUUUCAUCUCCAUCAGCCUGAGCAGAAAAAGGGUGUUCAAGAACCUUUCUUCAUAAAUCUUCCAUCUUCAAGUAAGUCUCACCACACAACAUAAGAAUUUGAACAAGAGAACAAGAACACAACAAUUCCACAGGAAAAGAAGGUUUGAGCGAUGAUUUUGGUUUCAGUAGAGAAUGUCAUAGUGGGUGGACGUGGAGUCAAAAUGUAGAAUAACCUUUGGAGGUGCAGGAGGCUAGGGUUUGCAAAAGAAGCGUGUUUCGUGAUGGGUGGGUAUGUGAGUUUAUUAGGUCAGAAAAACAGUUAAUUUUUUUUACCUAAAUUAAAAACAUUUUUAACCAAGGUUAGUUUUGGUAUUUUCUUGAAAAGUUGGAGAUGCAGGGAGCACUUUUGGAUGUGCAGGGAGAAACACCCCAAAAUACCAUCAUCGAAGUCCAACGUGCCUUGUAAGAAUAGAAAUUAUGUAAUUGUCACAGCUGAAGAAGCCGUCUUAAA